GUGGCAUUCUGAUAUGCAGGUGGAGCCCAUCUUCUGUCCCUGCUAGAACUGAGAUGUCCUAGGAAGGUGACUUGAGCCCAGAAAAUGUCCUCUACACCUACAUAGAAAGGCAUCCAGAGGAAGGAAUGGCCAUUAUUUAGGUCACGACUUUCUUGUGACAGAGGAAGGAGAACAAGAGGAUUGGUGGCUUCUUGGACUGGCAAAGGAAUAAAAAUUGUUUAGCUACCAGAAACUAAGUUACAUUUUCCAACUCCACCAGCUGAGAAAAAUGUUCCACAAUUAAAAUCUACAGAACUUGAGUAAGAUUGCUAUGGAAACCAGAGAAGACAAAACACAGCCUUACAGAGAGGUAAGGAUGAAGAGUUUCCCUAAAAGGAAAAAGCUGAAUUUCAGAAUAUAUUCUGGAAAGAUAUCCUGGAGAGAUAUUCGCCUGGGAAAGGCUAAUAAAGCUAACCUUGGACUAAGAGAGAGAAAACUAUCUCCCCCAGACUGGUUCAUUUUGAAUGACUGAGUCUCAACUUUUGGAGCCAGGCAAGUGGGAUGAGAGAGAGCUGAUUUCCUUCCCAGUGAAUCACUUGCCAAAUGGAGUGAUCCUGAGUCACAUCUGAAUGGAAUGAAACGUGACCACCGAAAUGCAAUUCUUCCUGCAGCAUCAACACAAAUAAUUCAGAUGAUUCUAAAUUUGAUAGAAGAGAAAGAAGUAUUUCAGUGCUUUUUGAUACUGCUUGAGUGUUCUUCCCGUGGCAAUUGUUUGCUAGUUUUAUAAGAAUUCUCUUGGCCUUCUCUUCACACUUUCUAUUUCCUAAAAUGAAGUACAAAUUUUUAAAUAAUUUUUAAAAAUGAUAUCAUACCUCCUCUAAUAAAUUUAAAUGUACCCCUAGCUAGAGAGCAAAUUAAAAUCAGAGGCUGAAAUCUCAAAUUUUAAGAUGCAUGCCAAUUGCCAGAGUUUAAAAAAAGAUACAGAAUAUGCUUCCAAAUGUGUGGGCGGGGACUGAGAUUUGCAUCUCUAACAAGCUCCCAGGUGAUACCAGCAGCUGGCCCACAGAACACACUUAGAAAUAACAAGGAUUUCAUGCUUUUUAAAGCAAUGGUUAAUGAAGAAUCCUGUACACCUGUUGUCACAGGUGCUUUGAGAAGUACAAAGCCCUGAGCUAGCCAUUCCUAUCUAUUAAAUUUGGAUAACAGGUUUGGGGCUCUGUUGAAGAAAAUUGCUUUAAAAAGACAAAGAAUAGAAAUCUUCAUUUCUGUUGGGGUAAAGAUUUCUUCCUGUUCAAUUUAACACUUAUCUUGUGCUCGUGACCAUGAAAAGAUCAUGAUGGAUUUGCUGAUAGUCCUCUUAAAUUUAUGUUCUGUAAAUUAUAACCCACUAUCUCUGACUUCUUUAUUUUUUAAGAUUUUAUUUAUUCAGAGAGAGAAAGAGAAAAUAAAUAUGAGUGGAGGUAGGGGCAGAAGGAGAGGGAGAGAGAGGGUCUUAAGGAGACUCUGCUCUGAGCACAGUGC